rnacentral:rRNA from 1 species
CCUAUGGGUGGCAGCAGUGAGGAAUAUUGGUCAAUGGGCGGGCGCCUGAACCAGCCAAGUCGCGUGAGGGAAGACGGUCCUAUGGAUUGUAAACCUCUUUAGGCGGGGAGCAAUGCCGGGCACGCGUGCCCGGAGGGAGAGUACCCGCAGAAUAAGCAUCGGCUAACUCCGUGCCAGCAGCCGCGGUAAUACGGGGGAUGCGAGCGUUAUCCGGAUGUAUUGGGUUUAAAGGGGGCGUAGGCGGAUUUUCAAGUCAGCGGUAAAAUGUCCGGGCUCAACCCCGGCCGGCCGUGGAAACUGGGGGUGUGGAGUGGGCGAGAAGUAUGCGGAAUGCGUGGUGUAGCGGUGAAAUGCAUAGAUAUCACGCAGAACUCCGAUUGCGAAGGCAGCAUACCGGCGCCCGACGGACGCUGAGGCACGAAAGCGUGGGGAUCGAACAGGAUUAGAUACCCGUGUAGUC